GACGAACGCUGGCGGCGUGCUUUACACAUGCAAGUCGAACGGUGAAGGUGAGCUUGCUCCGCCGAAUCAGAGGCGAACGGGUGAGUAACACGUGGGCAACCUGCCCCUAACUUUGGGAUAACUACUCGAAAGAGUAGCUAAUACCGGAUACGAAGUCUGUAGGCAUCUACGGAUUUGGAAAGUUUUUCGGUUAGGGAUGGGCCCGCGGCCUAUCAGCUUGUUGGUGAGGUAGUGGCUCACCAAGGCGACGACGGGUAGCCGGCCUGAGAGGGCGACCGGCCACACUGGGACUGAGACACGGCCCAGACUCCUACGGGAGGCAGCAGUGGGGAAUAUUGCGCAAUGGGCGAAAGCCUGACGCAGCAACGCCGCGUGCGGGAUGAAGGCCUUCGGGUUGUAAACCGCUUUCAGCAGGGAAGAAGCGAAAGUGACGGUACCUGCAGAAGAAGCACCGGCUAACUACGUGCCAGCCGCCGCGGUAA
rnacentral:rRNA from 1 species